UGGGGAAUAUUGCACAAUGGGCGAAAGCCUGAUGCAGCAACGCCGCGUGAGUGAUGAAGGUCUUCGGAUUGUAAAGCUCUGUCUUUUGGGACGAUAAUGACGGUACCAAAGGAGGAAGCCACGGCUAACUACGUGCCAGCAGCCGCGGUAAUACGUAGGUGGCGAGCGUUGUCCGGAUUUACUGGGCGUAAAGGGUGCGUAGGCGGAUGUUUAAGUGAGAUGUGAAAUACCCGGGCUUAACUUGGGUGCUGCAUUUCAAACUGGAUAUCUAGAGUGCAGGAGAGGAGAAUGGAAUUCCUAGUGUAGCGGUGAAAUGCGUAGAGAUUAGGAAGAACACCAGUGGCGAAGGCGAUUCUCUGGACUGUAACUGACGCUGAGGCGCGAAAGCGUGGGUAGCAAACAGGAUUAGAUACCCUGGUAGUCCACGCCGUAAACGAUGAGUACUAGGUGUAGGAGGCAUCGACCCCUUCUGUGCCGCAGUAAACACAUUAAGUACUCCGCCUGGGAAGUACGAUCGCAAGAUUAAAACUCUAAAGUGAAUUGAC
rnacentral:rRNA from 1 species